rnacentral:rRNA from 1 species
ACAGCAGCAGCCACGGGAAUACAGAGGGUGCAAGCGUUAAUCGGAAUUACUGGGCGUAAAGCGCGCGUAGGUGGUUUGUUAAGUUGGAUGUGAAAUCCCCGGGCUCAACCUGGGAACUGCAUCCAAAACUGGCAAGCUAGAGUAUGGUAGAGGGUGGUGGAAUUUCCUGUGUAGCGGUGAAAUGCGUAGAUAUAGGAAGGAACACCAGUGGCGAAGGCGACCACCUGGACUGAUACUGACACUGAGGUGCGAAAGCGUGGGGAGCAAACAGGAUUAGAUACCCCCGUAGUCCCUGUCUCUUAUAA